rnacentral:rRNA from 1 species
CCUACGGGGGGCAGCAGUGGGGAAUAUUGGACAAUGGGCGAAAGCCUGAUCCAGCCAUGCCGCGUGUGUGAAGAAGGCCUUCGGGUUGUAAAGCACUUUCAGUGGGGAAGAAAGCCUUGGGGCUAAUACCCUCGAGGAAGGACAUCACCCACAGAAGAAGCACCGGCUAACUCCGUGCCAGCAGCCGCGGUAAUACGGAGGGUGCGAGCGUUAAUCGGAAUUACUGGGCGUAAAGCGCGCGUAGGCGGUCUGAUAAGCCGGUUGUGAAAGCCCCGGGCUCAACCUGGGAACGGCAUCCGGAACUGUCAGGCUAGAGUGCAGGAGAGGAAGGUAGAAUUCCCGGUGUAGCGGUGAAAUGCGUAGAGAUCGGGAGGAAUACCAGUGGCGAAGGCGGCCUUCUGGACUGACACUGACGCUGAGGUGCGAAAGCGUGGGUAGCAAACAGGAUUAGAUACCUUGUAGUC